UCUUGUAGGGUGCAACCUGUCGAGCUAUAAAAUCCUUGAUUAGUGAUUCGUCAAUGGUGCUUCCAAUUUUUCGUACCACAAAGGCCAUGGGUAUAUGCCCUGCUUCCUCGUCAGGAUACGGAAUUACAGCUGUCUCAAUAAUAUCUGAAUGGGAUUGAAGCAGGUGCUCGAGUUCUGCUGGAGCAACCUGGUAGCCUUUGUAUUUGAUUAGUUCCUUAAUACGAUCCACAAAAAACAGGAAGCCUUCACUGUCAAUGUAACAAAGGUCUCCAGUUCUCAACCAUCCUUCAGAAUCCAAAGUUGCAGCUGUUGCUUCUUCA
rnacentral:misc_RNA from 1 species